UAAGGGUUUUUCAUCAGUAACCAGACCGAGUAGCAGCAGAAGCCGAUCAGAAGCAAGCGAAAAUGCCGUCACACAAGACAUUUAGGAUCAAGAAGAAACUAGCAAAGAAGAUGAGGCAAAACAGGCCUAUCCCUCAUUGGAUUCGCAUGAGAACCGAUAACACUAUCAGGUACAACGCCAAGCGUAGGCACUGGAGAAGAACUAAGCUUGGAUUCUAAGUUUUCUGAAGAUUCACUUGUGCAUUCAACGUUCGUCAUGCCUUGGUAUCGAAAUCCACACCAGGGGAAUCUCAUUUGCAGAGGAUUUCUGGAGUUCAAAAGGCAAACCUGUCCAUCGGUGACCUAUAAGAUCUUGAAUCAAAAUUCGUUCACAUCUCCAUAAUCAAAGCUUAGGAAAAUCUGUUCAGGACAGAUCAACCCAUUUUGGGGAAAAAGAAUUAUCCAUUGCAUCAUGAGCGGGUGUGCUCUCUUACUGGGUGGGCCGAAAAUUAGAUUCUUUUUACUCGUUGAAGACGUGGAGUUUUGGAGCAUGAAAAUUGACUAUAAAAAAAUUAUUGAUUUACAAAAAUAAAAAGCGCAAAAUAUCUCGAAUUCAAAACUAUUAAGCCCGACCAAUAAAUUAAUUUAAGAAAUCCACAACUUGAAGUCUGAAUCAUAUUAUGUUUUAAGUUAAAUUAAUAAAAAUAUUAAUCUAAUAAAACCGAAUUUUUAUUGAUCCAAUUGAAUAGAAGAGUCAGCUUUAAAGAAAAAAAAGGCGGAAAGAUACCUAUCAUUAAUCUAAUAUUGCUAGGAUUAUUCUUAUCAUUAAUUACUUUUUUAGUUAUCCUGAAUUCAAACCAUGUGUUAGUCUCACUAAAUAUAAUAAAUCAUGUCAUUUAUUUAUGAUAAAAUCGAUAUAAACAGUAUGUCUCGAUUCUCAUCAAACAAGUUAGAAUGUAUUUUUUUAUCUUGUAUAUAAAUCUCUUUAUACUUUCAAGAAUAUAAAAAAAAAAAUCAUGUGAUUUUUAUAUUUUUUGAAAUCUUAAUGUUUGAUAUGAAUAAUACAUGUUAAUUUUGUUUGUUGAA